rnacentral:lncRNA from 1 species
AUAAGAGCAGCAAGUUGUUUUAGGCUCAAUUUGGAAUUGCGAAGAGAUUACUUUACUUGCGGUGACAAGAUAUGGUGAAAAAAAUACGUUAUUAUUUACAUACGUAAUAUUAUUCGAGAAAUGAUUCGGUACUUUAUUCUUAAAAAAAUAAAAUAGAUUUUAACCGUUGAUUAAUACAUCGUAAAGAUGUAAUUUUAACAUUUAGUAGGUAAAAGGAUUACAUCAUGCGAGGUUAUUUUGGUAAUUAAACUACACAAUAUUUAAAGAAACUUUUAAUUGAUAUCCUAAAUUUAUGCAUUAAUUUGCACUAAUUUGGAAAAU